rnacentral:rRNA from 1 species
GACGAACCGUCCAAACGUUAUUCGGAAUCACUGGGCUUACAGAGUUCGUAGGCGGUCUGGAAAGUUGGGUGUGAAAUCCCUCGGCCUAACCGAGGAACUGCGCUUGAAACUACCAGACUCGAGGGGGAUAGAGGAAAGCGGAACUGAUGGUGGAGCGGUGAAAUGCGUUGAUAUCAUCAGGAACACCGGUGGCGAAGGCGGCUUUCUGGGUCUUACCUGACGCUGAGGCGCGAAAGCCAGGGGAGCAAACGGG